GUGGCUGUCCCUUGGAGUGGGCGGAGUGCCUUUUAUCACUGGCUGGCUCCAAGUCUGCAUCGCUGCAUGUCAGCAACAGAGAGUAAACAAUGUCCAUGCCGAGGAAAAAUCUCCAUAAGAAAAAAAUCAAUAACAGAAAAUGUAAUGAUUUUAAAGCAGAGAAAAAAUUUGUAGCACAAAGAAACCAUGAAAACACCAGCAAGAGAAGAUAAAUGCAUCUUAAGUAGCAAACCAUAAACACUAUUAAGCAUUACUUAAUAUAUACUACUCUCCAUUACAUUGAUCAAAACUUCAAUAGAACCAUGUGGUCCAUAGAUUCUGAAAUAGGAUAUAUAUUGAUACACUAAGUAUGAUUAAUCAUUUCUCGAGUCAAUUUCAUACAUAACAUUGGCCACCUCCGAAACAAAAUUCUGGCACUGCGAUACUCCAGCCAUACCAGUUAGCAAAGCAGAAGAGAGAAGGUAAGAAGUUAGCGCCAGUCAAUACAGCUAACAGACAACAACUUAACAAGCACCUCAAACACAUUUUACAUAACAAAGUCCCAAAAAAGUAUUAAUGCCUCGCAACAAGAACACUACAAAACUCCAAUUAUAACCCCAUCGAAUCCCUUGGUCAAUCAAGAGGUUAUCACACCACCACAAUCCCCAACAAACCACCCCACCACAUGCCCAAGAGAGAAGGUAAGAAGUUAGCGCCAGUCAAUACAGCUAACAGACAACAACUUAACAAGCACCUCAAACACAUUUUACAUAACAAAGUCCCAAAAAAGUAUUAAUGCCUCGCAACAAGAACACUACAAAACUCCAAUUAUAACCCCAUCGAAUCCCUUGGUCAAUCAAGAGGUUAUCACACCACCACAAUCCCCAACAAACCACCCCACCACAUGCCC
rnacentral:misc_RNA from 1 species